UACGUAGGUGGCAAGCGUUGUCCGGAAUUAUUGGGCGUAAAGAGCUCGUAGGCGGUCUGUUGCGUCCGCUGUGAAAACUCGGGGCUUAACCCCGAGCCUGCAGUGGAUACGGGCAGACUAGAGGUAGGUAGGGGAGAAUGGAAUUCCCGGUGUAGCGGUGAAAUGCGCAGAUAUCGGGAGGAACACCGGUGGCGAAGGCGGUUCUCUGGGCCUUACCUGACGCUGAGGAGCGAAAG
rnacentral:rRNA from 1 species